CCUACGGGAGGCAGCAGUGAGGAAUCUUGGUCAAUGGACGAGAGUCUGAACCAGCCAAGUAGCGUGAAGGAUGACUGCUCUAUGGGUUGUAAACUCCUUUUAUAAAGGAAUAAAACGAAGCAAGUGUGCCUUUUUGCAUGUACUUUAUGAAUAAGGAUCGGCUAACCCCGUGCCAGCAGACGCGGCAAUACGGAGGAUCCGUGAGUUACCCGGAUUUAUUGGGUUUAAAGUGAGCGUAGCUGGGUUGUUAAGUCAGUUGUGAAAGUUUGCGGCUCAACCGGAAAAUUGCAAUUGAUACUGGCAGUCUUGAGUACAGUUGAGGUAGGCGGAAUUCGUGGUGUAGCGGUGAAAUGCUUAGAUAUCACGAAGAACCCCGAUUGCGAAGGCAGCUUACUAAACUGUGACUGACAUUGAUGCUCGAAAGUGUGGGUAUCAAACAGGAUUAGAUACCCCAGUAGUC
rnacentral:rRNA from 1 species